rnacentral:rRNA from 1 species
GGCGGAAUGCGCAUUAACACGUCGGUAAUCUACCCUAGAGUCGGGGAUAACCUUGGGAAACUGAGGGUAAUACCCGAUAGGGAAGGGGAAUGGAAACACCCUUCUCUAAGUUCGAGCUCUAGGAUGAGCCGGCGGCCGAUUAGGCUGUUGGUGGGGUAAUGGCCCACCAAACCUAUGAUCGGUAGGGGCUUUGAAAGAAGGGGCCCCGCGAAGGACACUGAGGAACUGGUCCUAGCCCUACGGGGUGCAGCAGGUACGAGGUUUCUGCAAUACACGAAAGUGUGACAGGGGAAUCCAAAGUGCUUAAGCAAUAGCUUAGGCUUUUGCGGAGUGUAAAUAGCUCCGAGAAUAAGUGGUGGGUAAGACGGGUGCCAGCAGCCGCGGUAACCCCCGCGCCACGAGUGGCAAUCGGCAUUAUUGGGUCUAAAGCGUCCGUAGUCGGCUUUGUAAAUCUCUCGUGAAAUCGUCUCGCUCAACGGGACGGCGUGCGAGAGACACUGCAACGGCUCGGGACCAGAAGGUGCAAGAGGUAUUCCUGGGGUAGCGGUAAAAUGCGAUAAUCCUUGGAGGACCACCGAUGGCGAAGGCAUCUUGCAAGAAUGGGUCCGACGAUGAGGGACGAAAGCCAGGGGAGCAAAACGGAUUAGAUACCCGAGUAGUCCUGGCUGUAAACGCUGCGAGCUAGGUGUUGCACUUCCCUCGUGGAAGUGCAGUAUCGUAGAGAAGUCGUUAAGCUCGCCACCUGGGAAGUACGGUCGCAAGGCUGAAACUUAAAGGAAUUGGCGGGGGAGCGCUACAAGGGGUGCGGCGUGCGGUUUAAUCUAACUCAACGCAGAGAAUCUCACUAGCGGCGACGGCAGGAUGAAGCUCUGGCUGAAGACCAUAGCUAACGAGCCGAGAGGUAGUGCAUGGCCGCCGUCAGCUCGUGCCGUAAGGUGUCCUCUUAAGUGAGGCAACGAGCGAGACCUGCGCACACUAUUGCUAACGGGCGAUCCGUCGUGACCGAGCACAUCGUGUGGACUGCUCUCGAAAGGGAGAGGAAGGUGCAGGCAACGGUAGGUCUGUAUGCUCCGAAUCUGCUAGGCUACACGCGCGCAACAAUGGUAGGGACAACAGGAUGCCACUCCGAAAGGAGGAGCUAACCCUCAAAACCCUAUCCCAGUUUAAAUCGAGGGUUGUAACUCACCCUCGUGACAUCGGAAUCCCUAGUAAUCAGGUGUUAGCAUCGCCUGGUGAACAUGUCCCCGCUCCUUGCACUCACCGCCCGU